UACGGAGGGUGCAAGCGUUGUUCGGAAUCAUUGGGCGUAAAGCGCGUGUAGGCGGCUUGGUAAGUCGGGUGUGAAAUCCCGGGGCCCAACCCCGGAACUGCAUUCGAAACUGCCUCGCUAGAGUCCCGGAGAGGAAGGCGGAAUUCCCGGUGUAGAGGUGAAAUGCGUAGAUAUUGGGAGGAACACCAGUGGCGAAGGCGACUCGCUGGACCGGAUCUGACGCUGAGGCGCGAAAGCGUGGGGAGCAAACAGG
rnacentral:rRNA from 1 species